UACGGAGGGUGCAAGCGUUAUCCGGAUUUACUGGGUUUAAAGGGUGUGUAGGCGGGUCUUUAAGUCAGGGGUGAAAUCUCCGAGCUCAACUUGGAAACUGCCAUUGAUACUAUUGAUCUUGAAUUCUGUUGAGGUGGGCGGAAUAAGUCAUGUAGCGGUGAAAUGCAUAGAUAUGACUUAGAACACCAAUUGCGAAGGCAGCUCACUAAGCAGAUAUUGACGCUGAGGCACGAAAGCGUGGGGAUCAAACAGG
rnacentral:rRNA from 1 species